GAUGAAGAACGUAGCGAAAUGCGAUAAGUAAUGUGAAUUGCAGAAUCCAGUGAAUCAUCGAAUCUUUGAACGCACAUUGCGCCCGCCAGCAUUCUGGCGGGCAUGCCUGUUCGAGCGUCAUUUCAACCCUCGACCUCCCUUUGGGGAAGUCGGCGUUGGGGACCGGCAGCACACCGCCGGCCCUGAAAUGGAGUGGCGGCCCGUCCGCGGCGACCUCUGCGUAGUAAUCCAACUCGCACCGGAACCCCGACGCGGCCACGCCGUAAAACACCCAACUUCUGAACGUUGACCUCGAAUCAGGUAGGACUCCCCGCUGAACUUAAGCAUAUCAAUAAGCGGAGGA
rnacentral:misc_RNA from 1 species